GAUGAACGCUAGCUACAGGCUUAACACAUGCAAGUCGAGGGGUAACGAGAGGAAAGCUUGCUUUCCUUGUCGACGACCGGCGCACGGGUGAGUAACGCGUAUCCAACCUGCCCCCAACUAAGGAAUAACCUUGCGAAAGUAAGACUAAUACCUUAUAAUUUCCUCAGAUGACAUCUGACGAGGAAUAAAGAUUUAUCGGUUGUGGAUGGGGAGGCGUCGGAUUAGCUGGUUGGCGGGGUAACGGCGCACCAAGGAAACGAUCAGUUUGGGUUCUGAGAGGAAGGUACCCCACAUUGGAACUGAGACACGGUCCAAACUCCUACGGGAGGCAGCAGUGAGGAAUAUUGGUCAAUGGGCGGAAGCCUGAACCAGCCAAGUAGCGUGCAGGAUGACGGCCCUAUGGGUUGUAAACUGCUUUUAUACAGGAAUAAAGUUAGCCACGUGUGGUUAUUUGUAGGUACUGUAUGAAUAAGGACCGGCUAAUUCCGUGCCAGCCGCCGCGUAA
rnacentral:rRNA from 1 species